UGAAGUGAUUGUAGAACGCAAUCACGCUAAUCAAAAGAAAGUUCGAUUGGU
ncrna:unclassified sequences 6A RNA